rnacentral:rRNA from 1 species
CAAUAGCGUAUAUUUAAGUUGUUGCAGUUAAAAAGCUCGUAGUUGGAUUUCUGCUGAGAACGACCGGUCCGCCCUCUGGGUGUGUAUCUGGCUCUUUCUUGGCAUCUUCUUGGUGAACGUUGCUGCACUUGACUGUGUGGAGCGCUACCCAGGACUUUUACUUUGAGGAAAUUAGAGUGUUUCAAGCAGGCAUACGCCUUGAAUACAUUAGCAUGGAAUAAUAAGAUAGGACCUCGGUUCUAUUUUGUUGGUUUCUAGAGCUGAGGUAAUGAUUAAUAGGGAUAGUUGGGGGCAUUCGUAUUUAACUGUCAGAGGUGAAAUUCUUGGAUUUGUUAAAGACGGACUACUGCGAAANCANNNGCCAAGGAUGUUUUCAUNGA